rnacentral:sRNA from 1 species
UUGUUGUUGUUUUGAGACAGUCUCACUGCAACCUCUGCCUCCCGGGUUCAAGCAGUUCUCUGCCUCAGCCUCCCAAGUAGCUGGGAUUACAGGCACCUGCCACCAUGACUGGCUAAUUUUUGUAUUUUUAGUAGAGUCAGGGCUUCACCAUUUGAACUCCUGACCUCGUGAUCCACCCUCCUUUGCCUCCCAAAGUGCUGGGAUUACAGGCAUGAGCCACUGCGCCUGGCCCAUAGAUUAAAUUCUUUGUGAGGCCAAGAUUGUAGCUUUGAUCUUCAUAUGGGGUGUUUAGAGGUAUUCCAUUUUGUGGCCACAAAGUAUAUUUGUAAUCCUAGCCGGCUAUCAUGAAUAUUUUAUUGGUCACAGGAAGAACCAGCUAAGAACAUAUGAAUAGAUCAGUGCAAUACUAUCAUCAUCCUGGAAUAACUUGAUGCUGUUAUAUUAAAAUCUUGUUAAUGGCUGUCAGUUUUGCAACCUAAACAAGUAACACACUGAAUUAUUGAUUUGCUUAUGUGUUAAUGGCACAUAAAGCAAUGAGCAUUAACGCUUGAAGUUUUUCGGUAGUAUCAUUUUUGUGUAUGGAGACUGUAUCUGCCAUUUUUUCACAAUAGGAAGGUUUGUUACUGUAUCUUCACAGAUGAUUGGUUAAGAUUGCUUUCCAAAGUCACAUUUAUUCUCACCUUCACAUGGUGUUUUAAUGAGCACUUAUGAAACUAAAUAUGAACCAUAAAGAGUGGAUUGCACUGAUUAAAUUGAGAGUAAUUAUGCAGUUUAAUCAGUUGGUAAUAUUGAAUCAUAUGUAUUUUUAUGUUUAGAGUACAGGAUUGUUUUAAAUUGUUCUUUUUGACAAGUUGAGAUUAGUAGUUUAUUGUCAAAUAGUAAAGAGAUAGCUAAUGAUUGUGAUAUACUGUAAUAAGAUCUAUCACUUUAUAUGAUACAUUAUAAGUUUCAAUUAUUUCAUUUUUGUCUGGCUAAAUCUCAUUUGCUUUCUCUCCAUGAGAUAUACUUGAGGCAGCAGAAAGAGCAGGUGGGAAGUUAAAGCAACUCAUUUAACUGGCCUUUAGGAAAGAAAAUGUUUAGAUUGACUCAAUUUUCUAGUUAUCUAUUCAUCUUAUUUAAAAUUCCAACCUGCUCUACUCCUUACUCAGGUCUGUUUUGUUUUAAUCACACUUAGUACCUUCUAACAUAGUAUAAAUAGUGAUUACGUUUGCCUGUCUCCCUUCCCCAUUCCUACCCUUGCUAGAAUGUAAGGUCCUUAAAGGCAGAGAUUCUAAUUUAAUCUUUUGUCUUCACUGUGUCCCAGAAGCCUAGAAUAGUUUUCAGCACAUAGUAGAUACCCAAUAAGGUUAAAUUAGUGGUCUCAAAUGCUAAUACAUUUUCAACCUUCUUAUAGAAAGAACAUACUGGUCGUCUUGUUAUAGGAGAUCACAAAUCAACAUCUCACUUCCGAACCGGGGAAGAAGACAAGAAAAUUAAUGAAGAACUGGAGUCUCAAUAUCAGCAAAGUAUGGACAGUAAAUUAUCAGGAAGAUAUCGGCGACAUUGUGGACUUGGCUUCAGUGAGGUAGAAGACCAUGAUGGAGAAGGUGAUGUGGCUGGAGAUGAUGAUGAUGACGAUGAUGAUUCACCUGAUCCUGAAAGUCCAGAUGAUUCUGAAAGCGAUUCAGAGUCAGAGAAAGAAGAAUCUGCUGAAGAACUCCAAGCUGCUGAGCACCCUGAUGAAGUGGAGGAUCCCAAAAACAAAAAAGAUGCAAAAAGCAAUUAUAAAAUGAUGUUUGUUAAAUCCAGUGGUUCAUAACUCCCAAAUGCUUAGUCUUUGUAUUAAAAGUAAGCCUUAUUGUUACAAUGCACAGUGGAGGACUGCUUAUAGAGCACAGACCUUUGUAUUAUAAUUUUUAAAAAGGCCCUUUUAAAUAAUUACAAAGAGUGUUUGCUUUCAAAUGCCAUGGGUUACACUUUUAUGGGCAUGACUAUAACCAUUUUUGUAAAGAGUAAGAGUUGUAUAAAAUAAGAAAUAAAUACAGUACUCAACUUCCUUUC